GUUUCUGUAGUGUAGUGGUUAUCACGUUCUCUUUAACGCGAAAGGUCCCUGGUUCGAAACCGGGCAGAUGCA
rnacentral:tRNA from 1 species